GAUGAACGCUGGCGGCGUGCCUAAUACAUGCAAGUCGAGCGAACAGACGCGGAGCUUGCUCCUCUGACGUUUGCGGCGCACGGGUGAGUAACACGUGGAUACCCUACUUAUAAGACUGGGAUAACUUCGGGACACCGGCGCUAAUACCGGAUAAUAUAUUGAACCGCAUGGUUCAAUAGUGAAAGACGGUUUUGCUGUCACUUAUAGCUGCAUCCGCGCUGCAUUAGCUAGUUGGUAAGGUAACGGCUUACCAAGGCAACGAUGCGUAGCCGACCUGAGAGGGUGAUCGGCCACACUAGAACUGAGACGCGGUCCAGACUCCUACGGGAGGCAGCAGUAGGGAAUCUUACGCAAUGGGCGAAAGCCUGACGGAACAGCGCGGCGUGAGUGAUGAAGGUCUUCGGUUCGUAAAACUCUGUUAUUAGGGAAGAACAAGUGUGUAAGUAACUAUGCACGUCUUGACGGUACCUAAUCAGAAAGCCACGGCUAACUACGUG
rnacentral:rRNA from 1 species